rnacentral:snoRNA from 1 species
UGUGUCUGUUCGACAGACCUGAAGCAGUAACUGUCUGCUGCUAAGUUUUCCACUACAGAUGUAAGAAAAAAGUGUCUUGGCACUUUCUAUGUGAUUGUGGCAGCUAAGAUGGAGUGAGGAAUAAAAUGC